UACGUAGGGAGCAAGCGUUGUCCGGAAUCAUUGGGCGUAAAGCGCGCGUAGGUGGCUUCGUAAGUCCGCUGUGAAAGUCAAAGGCUCAACCUUUGAAAGCCGGUGGAUACCGUGAAGCUAGAGUACGGAAGAGGCGAGUGGAAUUCCUGGUGUAGCGGUGGAAUGCGCAGAUAUCAGGAGGAACACCAAUAGCGAAGGCAGCUCGCUGGGACGUUACUGACACUGAAGCGCGAAAGCGUGGGGAGCGAACAGG
rnacentral:rRNA from 1 species